rnacentral:rRNA from 1 species
GACCUCGGAUCAGGUAGGAAUACCCGCUGAACUUAAGCAUAUCAAUAAGCGGAGGAAGAGAAACCAACAGGGAUUCCCCUAGUAACGGCGAGCGAAGCGGGAAUAGCUCAAAUUUGAAAUCUGGUCGCAAGGCCCGAGUUGUAAUUUGCAGAGGAUGCUUCGGGAGAGAUACCAGCUCAAGUCCCCUGGAACGGGGCGUCACAGAGGGUGAGAAUCCCGUAUCUGGCUGGCCUUUAAUCCUAUGUGAAGCUCCUUCGACGAGUCGAGUUGUUUGGGAAUGCAGCUCUAAAUUGGUGGUAAAUUUCAUCUAAAGCUAAAUACCGGCUGGAGACCGAUAGCGCACAAGUAGAGUGAUCGAAAGAUGAAAAGCACUUUGGAAAGAGAGUUAAAAAGCACGUGAAAUUGUUGAAAGGGAAGCGC